rnacentral:rRNA from 1 species
CGUAACAAGGUCUCCGUUGGUGAACCAGCGGAGGGAUCAUUACAGAGUUGCAAAACUCCCACAAACCAUCGCGAAUCUUACCCGUACGGUUGCCUCGGCGCUGGCGGUCCGGAAGGCCCUCGGGCCCCCGGACCCUCGGGUCUCCCGCUCGCGGGAGGCUGCCCGCCGGAGUGCCGAAACCAAACUCUUGAUAUUUUUUGUCUCUCUGAGUAAACUUUUAAAUAAGUCAAAACUUUCAACAACGGAUCUCUUGGUUCUGGCAUCGAUGAAGAACGCAGCGAAAUGCGAUAAGUAAUGUGAAUUGCAGAAUUCAGUGAAUCAUCGAAUCUUUGAACGCACAUUGCGCUCGCCAGUAUUCUGGCGAGCAUGCCUGUUCGAGCGUCAUUUCAACCAUCAAGCUCUGCUUGCGUUGGGGAUCCGCGGCUGCCCGCGGUCCCUCAAAAACAGUGGCGGGCUCGCUAGUCACACCGAGCGUAGUAACUCUACAUCGCUAUGGUCGUGCGGCGGGUUCUUGCCGUAAAACCCCCAAUUUCUAAGGUUGACCUCGGAUCAGGUAGGAAUACCC